rnacentral:rRNA from 1 species
AUUGAACGCUGGCGGAAUGCUUUACACUUGCAAGUCGAGCGGCAGCACGGGGGCAACCCUGGUGGCGAGCGGCGAACGGGUGAGUAAUACAUCGGAACAUGCCCAGUCGUGGGGGAUAACACUUCGAAAGAAGUGCUAAUACCGCAUACGUCCUGAGGGAGAAAGCGGGGGAUCUUCGGACCUCGCGCGAUUGGAGUGGCCGAUGUCAGAUUAGCUAGUUGGGGGGGUAAAGGCCUACCAAGGCAACGAUCUGUAGCUGGUCUGAGAGGAUGUUCAGCCACACUGGGCCGGCGACAGGGACGAGACUCCGCCGGGAGGUAGCAGUGGGGAAUUUUGGACAAGGGGGGCAACCCGGAGACAGCCAUGCCGCGGGAGUGAAGAAGGCCUUCGGGUGGUAAAGCUCUUUCGGCAGGAACGAAACGGCGAGAUCUAACAUAGCUGGCUAAUGACGGUACCUGAAGAAGAAGCACCGGCUAACUACGUGCCAGCCGCCGCCGUAAGAC